rnacentral:rRNA from 1 species
UGGGGAAUAUUGGACAAUGGGCGCAAGCCUGAUCCAGCAAUGCCGCGUGGGUGAAGAAGGUCUUCGGAUUGUAAAGCCCUUUCGACAGGGACGAUGAUGACGGUACCUGUAGAAGAAGCCCCGGCUAACUUCGUGCCAGCAGCCGCGGUAAUACGAAGGGGGCUAGCGUUGCUCGGAAUUACUGGGCGUAAAGGGCGCGUAGGCGGCCAGAUUAGUCAGGCGUGAAAGCCCUGGGCUCAACCUGGGGACUGCGCUUGAGACGGUUUGGCUUGAGGACGGAAGAGGCUCGCGGAAUUCCCAGUGUAGAGGUGAAAUUCGUAGAUAUUGGGAAGAACACCGGUGGCGAAGGCGGCGAGCUGGUCCGUACCUGACGCUGAGGCGCGACAGCGUGGGGAGCAAACAG